AUGAGCGCUGGCGGCGUGCCUAAUACCUGCCAGUCGCGCGAACAGACGAGGAGCUUGCUCCUCUGACGUUAGCGGCGGACGGGUGAGUAACACGUGGAUAACCUACCUAUAAGACUGGGAUAACUUCGGGAAACCGGAGCUAAUACCGGAUAAUAUAUUGAACCGCAUGGUUCAAUAGUGAAAGACGGUUUUGCUGUCACUUAUAGAUGGAUCCGCGCCGCAUUAGCUAGUUGGUAAGGUAACGGCUUACCAAGGCAACGAUGCGUAGCCGACCCGAGAGGGUGAUCGGCCACACUGGAACUGAGACACGGUCCAGACUCCUACGGGAGGCAGCAGUAGGGAAUCUUCCGCAAUGGGCGAAAGCCUGACGGAGCAACGCCGCGUGAGUGAUGAAGGUCUUCGGAUCGUAAAACUCUGUUAUUAGGGAAGAACAAAUGUGUAAGUAACUAUGCACGUCUUGACGGUACCUAAUCAGAAAGCCACGGCUAACUACGUG
rnacentral:rRNA from 1 species